ensembl:snRNA U6 U6 spliceosomal RNA
GUGCUCGCUUCAGCAGCACAUACACUAAAAUUGGAAUGAUAGAGAAGAUUAGCAUGGCCCCUGUGCAAGAAUGACACACAAAUUCUAUUACUUAAAUACAGUGGUU